rnacentral:rRNA from 1 species
ACUCCUUAUGGGAGGACAGGAAGGGGAGGAUUAAUGACACAAUGGGCGAAAGCAUGAUCCCAGCCAUCCGAGGUGAGUGAUUCAGACAGUCAGGGAUGUAAAAGUCUUUUAUGCAAGGCAGAAUAAUGACGGUUCCUGACAGGAAAAAGCCCCGGCUACUUCCCGUGCCAGCCAGCCGCGGUAAGUACAGUAGGGGGCUAGCAUUGUUCGGAAUUACUGGGCGUAAGAGUGCGUAGGCGGUUUAGUAAGUUGGAAGUGAAAGCCCCGGGCUUACCCUCGGAAUUGCUUUCAAAACUGCUAAUCUAGAGUGUAGUAGGGGAGGAUGGAAUUCCUAGUGUAGAGGUGAAAUUCAUAGAUAUAGGAGGAACGCCGGUGGAGAAGGGCGAUCAUCUGCGCUACAACUCCGCUCAUGCACGAAAGUGUGGGGAGCAAACAGGAUUAGAUACCUUGGUAGUCCCCCCCGUAAACGAAGAGUGCUAGAUAUGGGAAGAUUUUUUUUCGGGUUCGCAGCUAACGCAUUAAGCUUCCCCCCCGGGGAGUAGGGUGUCAAGAUUAAAACUCAAAGGAAUAGUGGGGGGCUCGCACAAGCGGGGGAGCUGGCGGUUAUUUAUUAUGUUACGCGAAAAACCCCCCCCUCCCCUGACAUGGGGGUGGCGGAUCGCAGAGAUUCUUUUGUUCAUGUGGGCGGGCUCACACACAGGUGUUGCACGGCUGUCGUCAGCUCGUGUGGUGAGAUGUAGGGUUAAGUCCCGCAACGAGCGCACCCCUCCUUUUUAUUUGCCAGCGGGUAAUGAGCACUCUAAUGAGACUGCCGGCGACAAUCCGGAGGAAGGAGGGGAGGAUCCUGGCUAAGAAUGCCUUCCUGGCUCAGAACGAACCACGUUGCCGGUGAAGCAACAGUGCGCAUAGCGAACACUGGUUGUGCGAGACGCGGCUUUACAGUUGCUUUGGCAGCAUGUGCGAAUGGAGACAAGCUACCAGCGUUUGUGAUUUUAAAGGAACCGAGCGGCAAGAUACCAGCGAAGGCAUUCAUGAAACUUCGCAUUCCAGGUAAGUGUCCAACAAAUUGCUCGUGGGUUUGUUUUAAGGUAUGAGAAAAGGCGAGUGCGCCCGGGCAGAUUGGCAUGUACUCGAUCGUCUGAUCAAGGGAUCCCUCC